GCAACGACCGUACCGCAAACCGACACUGGUGCGCGAGAUGAGUAUUCUAAGGCGCUUGAGAGAACUCAGGAGAAGGAACUCGGCAAAUUGACACCGUAACUUCGGAAGAAGGUGUGCCCUAUUAGUGUGAAGUGAACAACGGAGCAUGAAUGGGUUGCAAAAAAUCGGUGGCUGCGACUGUUUAUUAAAAACACAGCACUCUGCAAACACGAAAGUGGACGUAUAGGGUGUGACGCCUGCCCGGUGCUGGAAGAUUAAAUGAUGGGGUGCAAGCUCUUGAUUGAAGUCCCAGUAAACGGCGGCCGUAACAAUAACGGUCCUAAGGUAGCGAAAUUCCUUGUCGGGUAAGUUCCGACCUGCACGAAUGGCGUAACGAUGGCCACACUGUCUCCUCCUGAGACUCAGCGAAGUUGAAAUGUUUGUGAUGAUGCAAUCUCCCCGCGGAAAGACGGAAAGACCCCAUGAACCUUUACUGUAGCUUUGUAUUGGACUUUGAACAGAUCUGUGUAGGAUAGGUGGGAGGCUUUGAAGCAGGGUCGCUAGAUCUUGUGGAGCCAACGUUGAAAUACCACCCUGGUGUGUUUGAGGUUCUAACCUAGGUCCAUUAUCUGGAUCGGGGACAGUGCAUGGUAGGCAGUUUGACUGGGGCGGUCUCCUCCCAAAGCGUAACGGAGGAGUUCGAAGGUACGCUAGUUACGGUCGGACAUCGUGACGAUAGUGCAAUGGCAUAAGCGUGCUUAACUGCGAGACUGACAAGUCGAGCAGAUGCGAAAGCAGGACAUAGUGAUCCGGUGGUUCUGUAUGGAAGGGCCAUCGCUCAACGGAUAAAAGGUACUCUGGGGAUAACAGGCUGAUACCGCCCAAGAGUUCAUAUCGACGGCGGUGUUUGGCACCUCGAUGUCGGCUCAUCUCAUCCUGGGGCUGUAGCCGGUCCCAAGGGUAUGGCUGUUCGCCAUUUAAAGAGGUACGUGAGCUGGGUUUAAAACGUCGUGAGACAGUUUGGUCCCUAUCUUCCGUGGGCGCUGCAGAUUUGAGGAAGCCUGCUCCUAGUACGAGAGGACCGGAGUGGACACACCUCUGGUGUAUCGGUUGUCACGCCAGUGGCAUUGCCGAGUAGCUAAGUGUGGAAGAGAUAACCGCUGAAAGCAUCUAAGCGGGAAACUCGUUUCAAGAUGAGAUCUGCCGGGGCCUUGAGCCCCCUGAAGAGUCGUUCAAGACCAGGACGUUGAUAGGUCAGGUGUGGAAGCGCAGUAAUGCGUUAAGCUAACUGAUACUAAUUGCUCGUGCGGCUUGACCAA
rnacentral:rRNA from 1 species